rnacentral:rRNA from 1 species
AUGACGGUCCUAAGUUGGAACUGCCGGGGACUUGGGCAACCCCGGACAGUCCAAGAACUCGUAUGCCUCGUGCAUACGUACAAACCCAAGGUGGUGUUCCUCUCUGAAACGCGGCAAAGCACCCCGUACGUUAAUAAUCUGAAGUGGAGGCUUGGCCUCAAACACUGUAUUGCGCAGCCGGGCACUGGAAAAAGUGCCGGCAUCGCGCUUUUCUAUGAUGAAAAU